ACAGCAGUCGCCACGGGAAUACGGAGGGUGCAAGCGUUAUCCGGAUUUAUUGGGUUUAAAGGGUCCGUAGGCGGAUCUGUAAGUCAGUGGUGAAAUCUCACAGCUUAACUGUGAAACUGCCAUUGAUACUGCAGGUCUUGAGUAAAUUUGAAGUGGCUGGAAUAAGUAGUGUAGCGGUGAAAUGCAUAGAUAUUACUUAGAACACCAAUUGCGAAGGCAGGUCACUAAGAUUUAACUGACGCUGAUGGACGAAAGCGUGGGGAGCGAACAGGAUUAGAUACCCCGGUAGUCCCUGUCUCUUAUAC
rnacentral:rRNA from 1 species